rnacentral:misc_RNA from 4 species
AACGCACAUUGCGCCCCUUGGUAUUCCGGGGGGCAUGCCUGUUCGAGCGUCAUUACAACCCUCAAGCCUGGCUUGGUAUUGGGCUUCGCCACUAACCUGGCGGGCCUUAAAAUCAGUGGCGGUGCCUCCGAGGCCCUGAGCGCAGUAAAUAUCCUCGCUAUAGGGACCCGGUGGUUACUGGCCAGCAACCCCAACUUUCUAAGUUUGACCUCGGAUCAGGUAGGGAUACCCGCUGAACUUAA